rnacentral:rRNA from 1 species
UGGGGAAUAUUGCACAAUGGGCGCAAGCCUGAUGCAGCCAUGCCGCGUGUAUGAAGAAGGCCUUCGUGUUGUAAAGUACUUUCAGUCGGGAGGAAGGUGGUAAGGUUAAUAACCUUAUCAAUUGACGUUACCGACAGAAGAAGCACCGGCUAACUCCGUGCCAGCAGCCGCGGUAAUACGGAGGGUGCAAGCGUUAAUCGGAAUUACUGGGCGUAAAGCGCACGCAGGCGGUCUGUCAAGUCGGAUGUGAAAUCCCCGGGCUCAACCUGGGAACUGCAUUCGAAACUGGCAGGCUAGAGUCUUGUAGAGGGGGGUAGAAUUCCAGGUGUAGCGGUGAAAUGCGUAGAGAUCUGGAGGAAUACCGGUGGCGAAGGCGGCCCCCUGGACAAAGACUGACGCUCAGGUGCGAAAGCGUGGGGAGCAAACAGG